rnacentral:rRNA from 1 species
UACGGGGGGAGCAAGCGUUGUUCGGAUUUACUGGGCGUAAAGGGCGCGUAGGCGGCCACCGCAAGUCGGUUGUGAAAUCUCCGGGCUUAGCCCGGAAAGGUCAAUCGAUACUGCGGGGCUAGAGUGCAGAAGGGACAACUGGAAUUCUCGGUGUAGCGGUGAAAUGCGUAGAUAUCGAGAGGAACACCUGCGGCGAAGGCGGGUUGCUGGGCUGACACUGACGCUGAAGCGCGAAAGCUAGGGGAGCGAACGGG